UACGUAGGGUGCGAGCGUUGUCCGGAAUUAUUGGGCGUAAAGAGCUUGUAGGCGGUUUGUCGCGUCUGCUGUGAAAACCCGAGGCUCAACUUCGGGCUUGCAGUCGAUACGGGCAGGCUAGAGUUCGGUAGGGGAGACUGGAAUUCCUGGUGUAGCGGUGAAAUGCGCAGAUAUCGGGAGGAACACCAGUGGCGAAGGCGGCUACCUGGCACAUAACUGACGCUGAUACGCGAAAGCGUGGGGAGCGAACCGG
rnacentral:rRNA from 1 species